ensembl:lincRNA
GGCAGGAAUCUGCCCAUUUCUCCUGGGCUGCCCUCUCUGUGGGUCUUUUCAGGUUCAUCAGUUCAAGUCAGCUUCUCAGCUUCCAAACUGGACUGACAGUGUUUGUUCGUUUUGGGCCCCUCUCCCCUGCCUGUGGCUGUGAUCUGUUUCACUCCUUCACUCUUAUUUUCGCGUGGGUUUUGGAAGGAGCAGAGUCACAUGGAUGUGUUUAGUCUGUCAUGUUUAAUGGGAGGCCCCUUUGAGCUAUUGUUUGGAGGGGGCAGCAGACACUGGCAUGCUCAGAUUUAUCAUAAUGUGGCUUCUGCAGCUGUGGCCAACCGGGAUCUGACACCAAACAGUACAUACUGCUCUUCACAGUGCUGUGAACUGAUGCAGGGAAACCUCCCGGCCAGCUGAGAGUGAGGGGACUGUGCCUUCAAUAGCCAUCCUCCUUCCAUUCCUUGGUCAUACGUGACUGCAUUUUAUGGGGGAAAUUAUAUGGUAGUCUCUAACCCAUGGAGUCAUGAAGGGCUAUGAUGUAUCCCUUGAGAAUGUCAAGAAGGGGCUACUGUACCUCUGUUACUAUGGAAACUGGUUCCCUGUUGGCAAUCAGGCUUAGCAACACCCACAGUGUUGUGAAGCACAUGGAUUCUGGCUCUGACAAUGGGCAGGGAGCAGUCCCUAGCGAGAGGGCCACUUCCUCCGUGAUGUCUGGAGGGUCUCCUCCCAGCCUGAGCACCAUGCCUGGGGCUUGGCCUACAGUGCUUCAGCUCAGAGCAAAAGAAAGGAGGGGCACAGCCUCCAGCUUCCCCCCAGAGCCUCCUGGGCUGCCCCUCUGCCUGACGUGUGGGAAGGAGAUGGUGUUUCCAUCACCAGGAAAGUCUUUCUGACCUCAGCUGCAGGAAGAGGCUGAAACAGGUUACACAGCCCGGCAUGUCGGCCCAAGAUACCUACUGAUGAGGGGCAGGCUUGUUCAGGGCAAUUUCCAUUUCAUUUGUCUCUUCAUUUGUAGCUUAAAUUGGCCAAUUUCACCUGAAAUGUGCCUGGACUCCAGCAAUCCACACACUACAAAUGAAAGUCCCUAACAGGGUCUCUAGAGGAAGGUAGGGGAGCUGGACCUGGGGCCUCCCCAGCUGCUGAGCCUCUGGUGUGGAAGCCGCACAAGGCUGGGGAUGGAAGGAUGUGGAAAUAUAAUGAGAGGGCUUUAGGGUUGUGCCUGGGGAACACGAGGUUGUCCGCCCUUGUAAGAGUAAAGUAGCACUGACAUAAUGUGGGGAGAGAGAAGUCAAAUGCUCCACUCAUAUGGAAUUUACAAACACAGAAAACUAAUCUGUGUUGCUAGCCCUCCAAAUGGUGAUUAGGUCCAUGGGUUAUGGAGUAAAAGGAAGUGGGGGGUGUUUUGUAUGUUCUACGCCUUGAUCUGAGAGUAGCAACAUGGGUGCAAUGCACACCCAAGUACAAAUUCAUCCAGAUGCACACUUAGGAUGUUUGCUGCACUGUGAGUUCUACCUCAGUAGAAAAGGGGGGAAAGUUCAUGCCAAUGGUUUUCAAACUUUGCCACGCAUAGGAAUCCUGUGGGAGCCAGGCAUGGUGGUUCACACCUUUUCAUGGUUUGGGUCCAGAUGUCUCCCCAAGCCUCAUGCAGUCAUAAGUAGCUGAAUCUAGUGUGUGUGUGAUGCUGGGAUUAAGGGUGGGUGAUUACUAAUCAGUCCACUGAAUGGUUUGGCGCUGCCCUAAUCCCGGUAGCAGCCUUGUCUUCUCCCUUGUUGCUUUUGCUGUCUUCUGCCUACCAUGAACUGUUUUCUCUUCUGCCAUCCCACCCUGCCUUGAAGCCAGGUGAUUAUGGACUGAAACUUGUACAAACUGUAAGCUAAAUAAACCUUUCCCCUCUUUAACUUUGGGUGUCAGGUAUUUUUGUCUCAGCAAUGAGAGAAAAGUAACUAAGAUGCGCUGAAAGGAAGCUCACAAGUUUCAGCCUGGCCUGGGAAACUUAGCAACUUAGACUCUGUCUCAAAAUAAAAAUUUCAAAAAGGCGGGGAGUAUUGCUUUGUGAUCUAUAGCAUCAAAAGAAAAAAAAAUCUGGAUCCCUGAGUUCUAUUAAGUUAAUCUGGUGUCCUCUCUGGGAAUCUGUAUGUAUGUACCUACAUACAUAUGGUCUUUUUUGAGGCAGGGUCUUGCAGUGGAGUUCAGGUUGGCCUUGAACUGAUGGGGAUCCUCCUGCCUCAACCUUCCUAAUGCUGGGAUUACAGGCGUGUGCCCCUAUGCCCAGCUCAGCUUUUUAAGAAUGCCCUUCCAUUCCCAAAAGCACUUUUGAGGCAGGUGGUCCACUGACCCAUCAAGACAGGGUGUGGGGUGUUAGAAAGCUGCCUGGUCAAACGUUCCAAAUGGCCUAGGAGCCACUAUGCUGGGAGCCAUGAGGGACAGCUGGGAGGUUAUGGGCUCCAGAUGCCCUUGACAGGAAGGUUUAGACAGGCUGCAGCAGAGGAAGCACUGUAGAGGGAGCAGCAGGAAGUGAGGGGCCGCUCUCUGGGACAAGCAGGAUUGGCACCGGAAGUGGGUCUGCUCAUCAGGGAUGAGAAUUUCUCUCCAGGACUCCUAUCCCCAGGCACUUACCCCAGGAUCCCUGAG